UGGAUGUUAUUCUUCUUUUUACCUCUCAGAUCCAGAAAGACUCCAGCCCUUCAGAUCAAAUAGCUGAAACAAUGGAUGAUCUGGACUCUUGAUGACCUCACCCCAUCCAGGUGCCCAUCCACAUAGAUGAAAAUGUCCAGAGCCAAAGAGCCUUGCUCUUCCCAUCACGACCUUUGAAGAAGGCCUCAAGUCUUCAGGAGAAACCAUUUCCUGACCUAAGGCAAAGUGUCCCUGUUUUGGAAGAGAGGAGAGAACAUGCAAACUUCACAUCAGGCUUAAGCAGGCUUUCUGCGGAUUGAAUCCUCCAGAAGUCAAUAGAGAAGCAGUUCGCAGUCUGGAGCGAUUUCAAGGAGUCUUCAAAUCUUCAAAGAUUUCCUUCUUUCCCAAGGAAGAGGAGCAAAGAAGCAGUGCCUCCCCUGGAGAGUGUUAAAGGAGAGCAACGCAGAGCUACAGAUAUUGAACUAAAUUCAGGUAAGAACUGCUGACACCACCACUCAAAGCAGUGGAUACAAUUAAGAACAAUGAUAAUUGUGGCUGC
rnacentral:lncRNA from 1 species